CCAGUGCGAACAGCUGAGAGGUGUGAUUUCACAGGCUGGCUCCCCCCUGUCAGGGCCCUGAUUGGGCCGGACAGGAGGCGCAGGAGAGGCCCGGGCUUCUAAAGGACACCAACAGGUGGGAGGCCGCUUUGGAGGGGGGUGCUCCUGGCGGGAUAGAAAAGGCCGAUCUGCAAGGCCUGUUGUGGUCACAAUCCACCGGGCCAGAUAUGGAAGAGGAUGGUUGAUCGCAGGAUAGCUGAGGUGAAGAGAGCAGAGGGGCAGGAUGAAGUUGUGGAAUGGUUCUCGGGGAGGGAUAGUUGAGAUGAGUUUUUUGGCUUUAAAGGGUGGAAAGGGCAGCUUCAGGGACAAGGCAUAAGGUUGGUUGUGUGUUUCUGGUCACAGUGUUCCCUUUUCAAUCUCUGCUUUCUGACCAACAACUUUUUGUAGUUUUUUUUGUUGUUGGUUAAUAUAAAAGGUUAAUAUUUGACAUCAACAAAUGGACAGUACAUUGACAUGGUUUUCUGUUGAGUCAAAGGUCUUACAGAUUCAGACGUUGCAGGCUUUUUAGUCAUUCUAGUUUUUCACCAUGGCAGAGCCUGACACGUCAGUCAGGUGAGGGGAAGCUGAGGUGUGACACAGGAAGGAAUCAGGAAAUUCUCAUCACAGUCUAAUCAAAGAAAAAGGGCUAGUCUUUCUAAUGUCCAGUUGGUUCGGAGCUAGUUGACAUAGCAGUGGUUAGGUUGAUCAAGGAAGUCACCACAAGACAGUGUAGGAGAGGCUGGCUAAACCCAAUGUGGCCUCAAGCUCAACUCCAGCUGCUCACCACAAGAAAACCACAAUAGGAGACGCAACAGGAUUCAAUAAAGGUAAGGCUGAAGAGGACAUGACGGCCUGACCCCUCGAAGAUGAUUCCCGUCUACUAUUUCCUCUCUUUCUCCUCUCUCAUGUCCUUCUUUUUCUAUGUCCUCUACCCCUAUAACCUUCUCUCUCUCCCCCCUCCUCACAGCAUGUCCCCUUCCUGCUCCCCCUCGCUCAGCCGCCUCUUGCAGCUGAAGCAACACGCCUUGCUGUGGCUGGUCAAACGGAACCAAGUCAGGUGUUUCUGUGAGGUUUGGUCCCCUUCAACCAGCUACUGCGUCGUGAAUUCAGUCAGCGUGGAAUCAGAGACACAGUGGCGUUGUGGUGUAUGGCGCUGCAUACUUUGGGGGUUUGUUAUUGAUAGAUUAUUUUUGUUCUCGGGUAGUUUGGUGUUGGUUGUUUCCUGUAUGACAAUGGAUGUUUGAAAAAGCAAAUAAAAGAUUGCUGACAACAUA